rnacentral:lncRNA from 1 species
UGGUGACAACCAGCCUUGCUCACGAAGCGUCAGCCGUAUCCUUUCUGUGUGCAGUGGGGUGUGGGUUGUGUGGAGCCGCGGUGUCUGUGGAAUUCACAGGCUGGGGCCGGAAUCCAUGGCCCCCGUCGCCGCUGCCACCCCCCAGGCAUUUGUUUUAUUGCUCUUUUUUCACCAACUCAAACUGAAUGGUCACCUUAACAGUUUUAUUGAGAUCCAUUAUUUAUUCUUCUCCAUCUUGUUCUGUGUUCCUGGAAGCCAACCUUUAUAAGCUGCAGGAAAUGGAUUUCCUACUCUCCACCUUCUGAUUGGGCUUGACCAACGGGGAGCACUGGCAGAAGACAAGCAUGGGAGGAAAAAGAGAUCAGGGUAUUCAUUUCCCCAGAUCCCUCCCUGUCCUCUACUUAAAGGUCAUAAGUCCAUCCAGGUGUCAUCUCUUAUGUAGGAUUCUAGCGACAUCUUCUCCCCUUGUUCCUUUAGGCUUAGGAGUAAUAACACUUUUCUGUUCUUGCUAGUCCUGAGGAUAAGUGUUUUGUCACCUCUUGUUGAUUUCCCUGACUUCAAAUACCAAACACUAUUUUUUUGCUAUUUUUGAACUUUAUGUAAGUAGAAUCAUACAGUAUAUAUUUUGGGGGGUAAGGUUUUUUUUGUUUUGUUUUACUCAAUAAUAGGUUUGUGAGCAUCAUCCAUGCUAUUGCAUAAAACAGUAGUUUGUUUUCAUUGCUGCAUAGUAUUUUUCACUUAUACAUUGUACUAUUAAUAAAUAUUUGAG